CUGCCCGCGUUGGCGUUAAAAGCCGCUGGUUGCCGGGGGUUGUUACCGACCCGGUGGUGCAAGUUCAACGCCUGCUAACGCGAGAUAAGUAAUCUUAGGUUAACGCUCAAAAGGAGUUGCUAAGGCUUUGGAACAUCAGCUGAAGCCCCAAAUACCGGGAGCAUUCUCCAGGAAGUUGUACCCGUCAGCACCUGCUGAGGGCUUCGCUGAUGAAACUGACAGGAACCAACCAUUUUUAAAAUGGAAGCCAAAGUAAAAUGGAAAGCCUUCUGAGAGCGAAGCAAACUAAACGUGGUGUUCUUGUCCUUAUUGGAUUCAGGGGCACCCUUUCAGAUAAAAACGUGGACCUGAUUGGCAUCAUCCUGUAUCCAUGGAAACGUUAAAACACGUCCUGAAUUGUUCAUGAAACUGGAAAUGACAACAAUAUUGCCCAUUCUAUUUUCUUCAGCAAAAUGAAACAUAUUUUUUUCCUGCGAAAGGUUUUUGUCAUUGGAAAAGGAAUUUUGGACCAAACCAGAGAAUAUUCUUUUUUGUCAGAAGGUUUAACUUUCAUGAAAGAGCAUGGAAGAGGAAAGAAAUGACAAGGCUGCAUUGACCAAUCUUGUCUCCAGGAAACUACAACACUGCUCUCCGUUUGGAAGAAGUGCUUGGAUGUCUUUUGCAAAAACAAACACUUGGAUGCAAUUUCUUAGAUGACAAGAUAUCACUGAGGGUGACUGCCUGCCUUGGAGGUUUUAAGUUUUCUCUGUUCUGGUGAGGCUUCUUUGUACACCUCCUUUUUUUUCUUGUAGGCCAGUUUAUACCGACACCUCAAAGGCUUAAGGCUUUUUCCUUCCCUCCCUCUACUUGCUUUGCUUUUCUAUCACCACAUGCUGCACAUGCGAGGUGGAGCUGCCUUUUAACUUCAGAGAUCAGCACGAUAGGAGGGCAGUGGAAAUCAAACAAACCUUCAAAAACACAAGGGCGGUGAGGCACCCACAAAACUAGCACUCAGAUCCAAAACUAGAUGGGUGGCCAGCUUUAUCCCAGACAGUCCAUCAACAGCCUAACCACAGGUCAGACCAACUCCAGCAUUGCUCAUACUGUCCUGUGGCAUUCACCAAGAAGCCAGAUAUUUCUGCCUAAGGAAUUUCCUCAGCAAGGAUUGCCUUUAAAGACGGAGGGAGAAGUCAAUCUGCUAGAGAAAAUGUACACAUAUGCCACCUAAUUAAAGGCUCGGAAAAAAAAAAGUAAAUCAAAUCAAUGUUCUUGAUUGAAUUAUCAUGGGAAAAUGGGAAUAAGCCUUCGAUCUCAUUUCACAUCAGCCCGAGUUUUCCAGAACUUGAGGAGAAAAAUGUUUAAAAAUGCCCAGAAUGGUUUGUUUUCUUAUCUAAAUUUGCUAAUUUGUGGUCCUAUUAAUUCAGUCCUUGCCCAUUCAGUAGACAUUAUAAACACCUAAAACAUUAUUGUUUGACAUUUGCCUACUGAAGACACGUUCUAUUGCUCUUUAUUUCAUUUCAUUGGUAUAAGAUCCAGGUACUUUUGGCAGGUAGUGAGCUAUAUUAUUAUUAUUAUGCAUGCAAACACUCACAAGCUAGAGAUUCAUUUGAGCCAAUAUGACUACUGUUAAGCACAAAAAAAGACAGUCCCAGCUGCAAAGAGCCUGCAGUCAAAGACAAUAGACAAUGCACUCGCAUUCAUUCAAUACAAAUUUCAGCAUCCAUUGCUUGAUUCAGUAGAUUUAGAAUCUGAAAACUGUUUUAUGGGGGCACCCAUACGGCACUUAGUGCCAGUCCCAGUGGGCAGAAGACUCCUCCCCCUGCACAAGCAUGCACAGAGGCGCUUACAAGUCUGUCGGGCAGGGUCUGUGCUCAGCUCUGAGAGCAGCAUCUGGAAAAAGCGGCUCCAUGUUGGUAGUAGCAUGUGGGCAUUAAAUGACCACAAUAAAAAUAAAAAUUGUUUCAUCACAUUUUGCACAUAUACCACAUGCAGAGAUUCAUAUUUUUUAAUUGAUGUGUUUUCAAAGAAACAGCAGGACAGUGCGGUGUUCUAGCUUUUCAGCUAUUGUCCAAAUUUGUGCUUUAAAGUGAAUUCCACUAAGAUUUCAAAAGCCCAUGCUAAGCGUACCUGGUCUCCUUCCUUUCACAGAAUGCUUUUAUAUGUGAGCUUUCCCACCUAUUUAUGCUUCUGUCAAUUAAACAGAAAUGGCUGGUUUUGUAAUAAGAAAAAGUGUGAUUUCCAGUUCUUGAUCCAAUUUCUUGUUAACAGAUUUUUUUGAAUAUAAAACACACAUAGGAACUUGGGCAAGGUAUGGUUUUAAGGAACUAGUACAGAAAAUGUGCUUAUGGCAAAGUGUUUCAAUUGUGUUUUUUGAGGUGUGUAAGUAGCUUUCUUAGGAUGAGCUAGCUGGGGGAUGCUGAACAGGAAAGAAAGAAGUUGGUAAAACUGCAGGGAAUUUUGCCUGUAGUUCUGCACUGAUUUCUGUGGAGCAGAUGAGGGAAAGGAAUACCUCGCACUUUUGUGUAAUUGGCUUUCACUAAGCUGAGUAGUAAAAUCUUUGAUUAAUAUAUGCCUGCAACUUCCAAUCAGCUAAGCUAUGUGUUAUGCAGUUAUAAGGUAUCUGUGAUACCUACUGACUAGAACAAGGCACGCAUUAACUUUUUGUCAAAGAACAAAGUGAAAUUCUGCAUAAUCCCCAUGUUAUGGCUCCUGUUCUCUCUAGUUUAAUCUACAACACUGGGAAUUUGUUAUACAACAAGAAACACAUUUUAGGAAUUGUCACAUUUUGUAAUUCCUUUUUGUGUUUAGAGUGUCAUAAGCAUUGUGGCUCUGGUUCAAGCCAACUGCAGCCUGGAAAAUGAAAUAUAAUCUAAAAAUAUCAUAAAAAUGGAAAUUUUCAGCGUUAAUCUCAUGUAAGUCUUUUACAUUCUGUAGUCAAACUAUCUGAACCUGAAAGGGAAUCCAACUGAAAACCAAGGCUCUUUACUGUUAUUUGCAGUUUGUCACAUCAAACCAGACUGUACCCUUGGGUCCUAGGCAUGAAAGAGUCUUUGUGAGGAGACCUUGCCCCAUCCAAGGACCUAUCAAAAAACAUGCAGAAGCUUUCAUGACAGGGUGCCUCUAUACUGAAGGAAAGGACAGAGGGUAAGGAGCGCAAAGGAGGCUGAGAGGAAGAAUGGCUCAAUAGUUUAAGGCAACAGUUUAAAAUUCAGGCAAUCUGCGUUUGCAGUUCCUCCCCUACUACCAGUUUCUGGUGAAACCCUGGGCACAUCCCUUACUCUGUAUUUUGGAUUGUCAGCUGCGAAACGGGGAGAUCAGCUCUCAGCAGAACUGUUGCAUGGAUAAUUACAAAGAAAGGAAGGAAGGAGGUAUGGGUUAUAGCUGUCCUAGGACAGAUAACAAAGCUAUUGGGGAGCGCAGAUAUGAUCACCCCCGCAGUCCUAUGCAGAUCCUUCGGCAAAAACAGCCACCUCCUGGAUAUGCCUCUUUGGGACCUCCAACAGCUUCUGAGGAAGGAAGGCCAAGCAGGGUGUGCUUUGCUGUUAAGUGUCUGGGGCCUGUGUGCCAAUGUUAUGGACGUGAAGUGGAAGAGCUAAUGGGACUUUUUUUCCCUCUCUCCCCUCUUUCAAUUAUGCACAAUUCUGUAAGUUACACAGGAUGUACGUCAGGGCUGAGUAAGAGCAUAUAAAGUUUGCAAAUAUGCAUUAACAAAUUAUCAUACUGCCAAAGUCAUUCGUAUUUGUAACACAUCUAAUACUCUUAAGCAGUGCUGUGGGUGAACCUGAAAGACAGAAGUAGUAUUUUUAUGCUAAUAUGCUAUAAAAUGUCUUAGCAAAAUAAGCAAGUCCCUCUGCAGUGGGUGUUUAUUUUCCUUGAUAUGAUUUAGAAGAUUCUCAUGUGACAAUCUUUUGUGUUGGGUUUGUAAAAUGAUCUCUAUGAGAAUAGAACACUAUUAUAAUACAUUACAAUAUAAAGUUGCUUGAGCAGCAGAAAGCUCCUAAUACAGUGCUUCACAAUGGAACAUUUAAACAGUUUAAUACAGCUUCCGCGUACAGUAUUUUAAAGAAUUGCUACAAACCAUGUUUGCAGCACUUUUGGAAAAGCAGGGUAAUAUUGAGGAGAACCUCCUUACCAGAGAGCUUCCUGUCACCGAACGAUCAUGUUGCUGUUCCAGCAAAUCCAGGUGGGAACAUUUUCAAGGAAAUGUCGAAUACUUCUCCUUUUGCCCAGAAACAGCAUAGCUAUUUUUAGGGAUAUUUUCCAUUGGCCUGCAGCGCAUUUCAGUU